CACCCACAGAGGUUACUUAAUGUUACAUUGCUCUGCUGUUUCUGUCCAUAUUACCCUUUUUCUUCUCAAUCAUUUUUGCUUACAUCUGCAGCACGACACAGCAUAGUGUACCAGUCAAAAAUUUCAGAGGCUAAGGCUUUCUGCCUUGUCUGUAUCGGCCUUGAAGCAGAAAUCAUGUGCUGUAUUUCUCUCCCCCUUGCUUAAUGGAAAAGAAUUUAAAACAGGAAGAGAAGAAAGAAUGCCUUCCAGCCAAGUCCCUGGCAGAUCCUGCUACCCUUCCUCCCACCCCCACUCUGGAGCCACACCCAGUCUCCCUGGGUGAUGUCAGCCAGGCUAUUCGCCAAAAGAUCUCAGGCCUGAGGGUGUCCAUGGAGAUCUCUCACUUUGGGGACCACAAAAAUCCCCAAAGUUCCUUAGCUAACACCCUUUAAAAAAUCGAGGCUUGUGGAAAACCUAUGCGUGGAAAGUCUGUUUCUAUUUCAGUUGUGUAUCAGUUAAGAUGGAAAAAUUUUAAAGUCCACACAGAUGGUAAAUAAAUUUCUGUUACAUGAGGCAGUUCCUGGAAUAAAGCAAUUUUCUCAAAUAACAAAUGCCAACUUGUUUUUUUCAGUGAGACUUAUUUUUAACUUUCCCAGGGAAGGACUGAGAGACUGGGAGCAAUAUCCUUCACCUUAGGAAUCCAGAUCACCUUCCAGAAGAAACUAGAGCUGUGCUCACUGCAGACUGACAUGUAUGUCUGCACACAUACAUGGGUGGAAUGAAGGCAGUGGUUGUUCAUUUUCUUAGGGGAGGGAAUGAGAGAAGGAAUGAGAAGAUGGAAAUUUUGCAGAAAUAUUUAUGUUUUCAUCCAGUGUUUAGUUUUCUAUCACUUACUCCACACAGUGUGAAAUUGACUCAUACUUUGCUUAGGAAUUCAUUAAGUCUUGGACUAAUGGCCAUCAAUCUUUGAGAAUUCUUUACACACUGUGAGACUUGGCCC
rnacentral:lncRNA from 1 species